GGGGGGAGUUUUCCUGUAUAGAAAAAUCACGAUCCACAAAGAUCCAAAGGUCCAAUCUUCAAUCCGUCUCCGGUAACGUGAUCCUUGCACUUGGAUCUACGUUUCUACCGUUCACUUUGAGGUGUUUGAGCUUGUUGAAAAUUGUUUGAAGCUAUCCAAACCUUGGGCUUUGGUUUGGUGAUUUUGUGAGGUACUUUGCGGGUCAAACCUAGGAUUGUUGGAAUCAGGAGUACAAGCAAUCCAAUAUGCUGCUCAUUUGGCUGCAGGUACUCCAGAGUUAGAUGACGAUCCCAUAGCGUAUUAUUUGGGAUAUUACGACUGAGGCCCGCAGCGACAGUUGUAAUGGGAUGGACUAUGGUGUCCUCUCUUUUGGUAUAUUUUGUAUAUGGCUUGUGACGUGGGUGUCACGUAUUCUUUUGUAUAAGCCAUUCUUUUGUUAUAUGAUGUAAUGAUGUUAAGCCUUAAACAGAUAGACAUGUGUAUGGCUCUUUUGUAUAAGUAACAGGUUAAGUUUUAGAUGUGCUAUUCCGCUGAAAUUAUGAUAGUGUCGUUAUGUUUUUCGCUGUUAGAUAUAACUCUGAUUAUCAGGUACAUGUUAUGGGGCAUGUGC